rnacentral:rRNA from 1 species
UACGUAUGUGGCGAGCGUUACUCGGAAUCACUGGGCGUAAAGGGUACGUAGGCGGUUUGAUAAGUCUGGAGUGAAAUGUCGGGGCUCAACCCCGGAUCUGCUUUGGAUACUGUCAGACUUGAGUAUUGGAGGGGAAGAUGGAAUUCCUGGUGUAGCGGUGGAAUGCGUAGAUAUCAGGAAGAACACCGGUGGCGAAGGCGGUCUUCUGGCCAAAUACUGACGCUGAGGUACGAAAGCGUGGGGAGCAAACAGG